AUUGAACGCUGGCGGCAGGCCUAACACAUGCAAGUCGAACGGCAGCACAGAAGAGCUUGCUCUUUGGGUGGCGAGUAGCGGACGGGUGAGUAAUGUCUGGGAAACUGCCCGAUGGAGGGGGAUAACUACUGGAAACGGUAGCUAAUACCGCAUAACGUCGCAAGACCAAAGUGGGGGACCUUCGGGCCUCACACCAUCGGAUGUGCCCAGAUGGGAUUAGCUAGUAGGUGGGGUAAUGGCUCGCCUAGGCGACGAUCCCUAGCUGGUCUGAGAGGAUGACCAGCCACACGGGAGCUGAGACACGGUCCAGCCUCCUACGGGAGGCAGCAGUGGGGAAUAUUGCACAAUGGGCGCAAGCCUGAUGCAGCCAUGCCGCGUGUAUGAAGAAGGCUUUCGGGUUGUAAAGUACUUUCAGCGGGGAGGAAGGCGGUGAGGUUAAUAACCUCGCCGAUUGACGUUACCCGCAGAAGAAGCACCGGCUAACUCCGUGCCAGCAGCCGCCGUAA
rnacentral:rRNA from 1 species